GAGUACAUAUUUAUGAUUGUUACAUGGGUACAUUGCCUACUAGUGGGGACUGGCCUUCUAGUGUACCCAUUACUCAAAUAGUGGGCAUUGUAACCCGCAGCUUCAGAUCCAAAUGGUAUGCUAGCAUUCUCUUCCUAGCAGUCCACUGUCAAGACUUCACUGUUAGAAGAAGAAUCACACCAGAAUUAAGGUCAAAUGGAUUAUCUUAUUCUUAAUUGCUGAAAAUCACACCUCAUUGAAAUUUGCUUCAUAACUGAACCAUGAAUUUUUCAUCAAACAUACUUUUGUGUUUCUCCUCCUGGCAUUCUUUAUGAGGAACUUCUUUUUGGAGCUCACUGACUUCCUGUUCUAAUUUGGUCCAGUUAUUUUCUAGAAUUGCUACAUGACUGUCAUCCUGGGACAUCCUUCUGUUGGAAUCUGGGAGAGCUUACAACUUUUCAUAUCCUCUCUUCUUCUUUGUGUUUUUCACCCUGAAGUGUACAAAGUCAAAUGAAUUUCCUAGAAAAAC
rnacentral:lncRNA from 1 species